GCUCGGGCUGGAGGCUUUCCUACCUGAUGGGCCUUUCCCGGGAACACAGUGAGCUCUAAUGGAACAGUGCAUAGAAGAUUCACAGCCUGAAUUGAUGCCCUACUCCAUAGAGAGUCUGUACGAAAUCAAGCAUAGUAUCAUGAAGACUUAGCAAAAUAUAGCCUGAAGACGAGCAAGUAUGAGUUUAAUAGAGUUUGGGUGACACCAAGCUGGACAAGGUUCUGGAUCCAUGAAGUAAUAAGAUCUAUUUGAAAAAAAGUUUGACCAAACUUUGGACCAAAUGUACCAAAUGUAAUAGAAUAAAAAAUCAGCAUUAUCCUUUACUGAUUCUUUUUUUUUAAACAUGAAAUUUAUUGUCAAAUUGGUUUCCAUUCAACACCCAGUGCUCAUC